GGGGAUCCCGCGGGGUCCGUCCCCAGGGACGGGAUCCGUCCCCAGAGACCGGGAUCGGCUCCGCGCCGGGAGGCGAACGGGGCUGUCUCCAUGUUCUGCCUUCGGGCUGUCGUGUGGGGGAGAGCCGCCUCCUGCUUGGGUUGACAGACGCGGCAACAUCAAGCACCGGUGACCAAACUGGUGAACAGAAUAAAGCUGCAGAGAAACCUCCCUCCACCUCAGCACCUGUCACUGGACCUCCCUUAACACAGCGACUGAGGCUGAAAUACACACGGGGGCUUUUAGAUUCGCCUUGUUUUUUCAACCACCUGAGCUACAGCCCACACGUCCGCCCGGCAGCGCUGUGACACCGAUUCGCUGGAGGGCAUAUUCCCUAACCGGGGGGGGGGGCAUGGUGAGGGGACCACGGCACUUCCCAACAGGUUUCAAACCCCAGACUCCUCCACAGUGUCCUUUCACGUGAACCACUCUUUCUGUAGAUGCGAGUGAGCUAAUUAAUGAUUUACAGUGUUUUGAAGAAAAUCAUCAGCAUCCAGAGUACAAAUGACAACAGGGGAACAAAGAGCUCACAUUCUAUUGAGGAUCCUUCAGGAAGCUGUGAGAAACUGGGCCCUACUUUUAAGCAGCACCAAAAGAGCUAACACCAGAAUCAAGGUUGGCAGGAGAGACGAAACAGCAGACCAAAUUGUCUCACCUCAGGUUGAAGAUAAGGGGGAUAGUACAGCAAAGACACAGUAGACCUUUAAUAAACCGCUGAGCCCAAUGCUGCCCUCAGAACUCAGUUCUUCUUCCUCUACUUUUUUCAUGCCAGUCUUUCAAGGAAGCAUUAGACACAAGUCAAAACACAUUUUACACUUGAUUUACACCUUAUUUGUCCAACUGCCUUAAUAGGGGUCAAUCAUACAACAGGCAUAAUUUUUUGGCAUGUGUUUCAAGCCAAUAUAUCAUCAAGUAGGGCCCUGAAUAUACUUUAGCUUAUCUUCAAUACUGUGAAUAGCAGAAAAUGUUGGUUAAAAUAUAAAACAAACCACAGCCUUUUAAGAUGCAAAGAUGAGAACUGAGAGUUGACAAAAUAAAGUCUGAGAGGUUUUUAAUGUUUCCUUAUGCAUGGAAAGGGAAAUUUCUCCAUAUUAAGAGUAACAGUCUGACAAAUUUGCAGAAAAUUUCAGCUAAACACAUAAUUGAGCAAUCCAGUGCAGAAGAGUAAAACCAGCAGCACUAUGCAACUGUAAUGGUGAACACUGUUGGAACAGCAUAUCUCCGUCCAAAAGGCUGGUUCUCUGGUGCAGUAAUUAAAAAUUAAAAAAUUAAAAAAAAAAAAAGAAAAAAAAAGAUUUUACAUAGAUGUAAAGCAAUGAUGAAUCAGGCUUUUUGACUGCACUCAGCCAGAGUUCUGAACUUUCCAGCGUGGACUUCCUUUACUAGAAGUUAAUCUUAAAUACCAUGAAUUAAGAUGUUCUUCCCUCUUUAAGUAAGUAUGCUUUGCAGAUUGAAGAUAUCAAUUCACAACUGUAGCUACUAAAGUCUUAAUUACCACCUUUAUAUGCUGUACAUGUCAUCUCCACAGCAUCUCUAGAUUGUGUGUUCUAGAAAGGUUCCUCUAAAUAUGCACUAUAUUUAUCUGCAACUUAUCUGUAACUGAACCCAAUGGGAUAAGCAAUAAAUCCCUGCUGACACCAAUUUUUAAUUACCCAUCAGAACUGGGUACAGAAUUAUCCAUCAGAAUGGAACUCUACAAAGGUCUGCCAUGAUAUCACCAGAUGAUCUCACUGUUCACACAAAUUUAGAAAGACAUCUUUUGAACUGAAGGGCACUUUCUGUUCUCCUGUGCCUACGCCCUCCUAGCCCUUCAUGCCAGGCUGCUCAUGCCCUUCCCUCCUUUGCAGGGGAAACAGUAAAAUUCACUGAACUGAUUCCUUUCUGGUGUAAUGACAAAAUGAUAACAAGUACUGUAUGAUGUGCCAGGCCGUCCUCCACUACACCAACAACUGGAGUUAAGCUGGAAUUAUGGUGGAGUUAAGGGGAAUCUCAUUGCUACCCAAGGAAGUGUGCAGUGCUUUAACAUUUGCCAUGCUUUAACAUUUAUUAUCAAUAAUUUCAUAUUGAGUUUAACAACACAUCAGCACUGAAGUCAACAAAAAGCACAAACAUGUUAGUGGCAAGAAGCAUGCUUCAAAUCACAUCACAUAUCUAGAAGUGUAUCCUGACAGAGAGGAGGGAUGCAAUACACAUUUCUUCUUUUAACUACAUUAUAUAUGAAAACAGUCUGAAAAAGCAAGAUACUGAACAAGUCUCACUCAAAGAGUUAAAGAGGAAAACUGCGUUUUAUUUUACAAGAACCUCAUCAUGCAACUGCAUAGCUUACAAGUUCCAUAAAGCUGUGUGAGAAUUUAAUCCUGGACUUCACCAUG